AGCGAACGCUGGCGGCAGGCUUAACACAUGCAAGUCGAGCGGGCAGCCUUGGGGUGUCAGCGGCAGACGGGUGAGUAACGCGUGGGAACGAGCCCUGCGACCCGGAAUAACCCAGGGAAACACUAGCUAAAACCGGAUACGUGCGAGAGCAGAAGGGUUUAUCGGCCGAAGGGUCGGCGCGCGUCUGAUUAGCUAGGUGGUGAGGUGAUGGCUCACCAAGGCGACGAUCAGUAGCUGGUCUGCGAGGAUGAUCAGGCACACUGGGACUGCGACGCGGCCCCGACUGCUACGGGAGGCAGCAGUGUGGUAUAUUGGAGGCUGAGGGCAACCCUGAUCCAGCCGUGCCGCGUGAGUGAUGCCGCCCUUAGGGUUGUAAAGCUGUUUUCUUCGGGACGAUAAUGACGGUACCGGAGGAAUAAGCACCGGCUAACUUCGUG
rnacentral:rRNA from 1 species